GACCCUCAAUUAGACAGAUGUAGUGAUACAUAUGAAGGAGAGGAUUAAACAGUUCCGUUAUGCCCUAAGAUAAUCUGGUUUGCACGCGCAAUACAAUAAUAUUUGAUAUUAUAAGGGAUAAUAUAAUGUAAGAUAUAUUUGAACAUGGAAUUGCUAGUAAAUUUUAUUUAAUAAGUAGAAUUGAAUGAGUCCCUGUUCUUUGUACACACCGCCCGUCGCUAUCUAAGAUGGUAUUAUCUAUGAACAAAUUUAUAAAGUGAAUAGAUAGUACUAGAUCUGAUAUAAGUCGUAACAUGGUUGCUGUUGGAGAACCAUUAGCAGGAUCAUAA
rfam:Nosema bombycis CQ1 unplaced genomic scaffold NBO_1442, whole genome shotgun sequence.